UUAAUAAGCUGGAGGAGAAGAGACUAACAAGGAUUCUCCCAGUAACGGCGAGUGAAGCGGGAAGAGCUCAUGUUGUGAAUCUGCGUAGUUUUACUGCGUGGAAUUGUGGUCUAUAGACACUUGCACUAUGAAACCGAACCAAGUCCCUUGGAACAGGGCAGCUAAGAGGGUGAGACUCCCGUACGUUUGGUUUUUGGAGCAUGUGUCGACGAGUCGAGUUGUUUGGGAUUGCAGCUCAAAGCAGGUGGUAAAUUCCAUCCAAAGCUAAAUAAGGGUGGCAGACCGAUAGCGUACAAGUACCGUGAGGGAAAGAUGCAAAGCCGCGCGAAAGCGCUGUUAAAGAGUACCUGAAAUUGCUGAAAAGGAAGCGAAGGAAACCAGUGCCAGCAUGGUCAUACUUCCCUAUUUGCUUGCAGAUGGGGCGCUGUGUCCAGCUGUGUCAUUGUUUACUGUACUGUCAAGAUACGCACUAAACGAGUUGAUUUUGGUUGCUUGCUGAUGAGACAAUAAAUUAUUGACGAAAUGGUUUUCUUUUUCCCG
rnacentral:rRNA from 1 species